ACUCCUACGGGAGGCAGCAGUGGGGAAUAUUGCACAAUGGGGGAAACCCUGAUGCAGCCAUGCCGCGUGUGUGAAGAAGGCCUUCGGGUUGUAAAGCACUUUCAGUAGGGAGGAAGGUAGUGUAGUUAACACCUGCACUAUUUGACGUUACCUACAGAAGAAGCACCGGCUAACUCCGUGCCAGCAGCCGCGGUAAUACGGAGGGUGCGAGCGUUAAUCGGAAUUACUGGGCGUAAAGCGCAUGCAGGUGGUUUGUUAAGUCAGAUGUGAAAGCCCGGGGCUCAACCUCGGAACUGCAUUUGAAACUGGCAGACUAGAGUACUGUAGAGGGGGGUAGAAUUUCAGGUGUAGCGGUGAAAUGCGUAGAGAUCUGAAGGAAUACCGGUGGCGAAGGCGGCCCCUGGACAGAUACUGACACUCAGAUGCGAAAGCGUGGGGAGCAAACAGGAUUAGAUACCCUGGUAGCACAGAG
rnacentral:rRNA from 1 species